CCUACGUGAGGCAGCAGUGGGGAAUAUUGGGCAAUGGGCGCAAGCCUGACCCAGUAACGCCGCGUGAAGGAAGAAGGCUUUCGGGUUGUAAACUUCUUUUCUCAGGGACGAAGAAAGUGACGGUACCUGAGGAAUAAGCUACGGCUAACUACGUGCCAGCAGCCGCGGUAAUACGUAGGUGGCAAGCGUAAUCCGGAUUUAUUGGGUGUAAAGUGCGUGUAGGCGGGAGCUCAAGUCAGAUGUGAAAACUCAGGGCUCAACCCUGAGCCUGCAUUUGAAACUGUGUUUCUUGAGUGCUGGGGAGGCAAUCGGAAUUCCGUGUGGAGCGGUGAAAUGCGUAGAUAUACGGCGGAACACCAGUGGCGAAGGCGGAUUGCUGGACAGUAACUGACGCUGAGGCGCGAAAGCGUGGGGAGCAAACAGGAUUAGAUACCCCUGUAGUC
rnacentral:rRNA from 1 species